rnacentral:rRNA from 1 species
AGCAGCCGCGGUAAUUCCAGCUCCCAUAGCGUAUAUUAAAGUUGUUGCAGUUAAAAAGCUCGUAGUUGAAUUUCGGGAUUAGUACGUUGGUCGUGCCUUCGGUACGUACUGGUGUUACUGGUUCCUACCUUCUGACGAACCAUCAUGUCAUUAAUUUGGUGUGGUGGGGAAUCAGGACUGUUACUUUGAAAAAAUUACAGUGUUUAAAGCAGGCUCGCGCUUGAAUACAUUAGCGUGGAAUAAUGAAAUAGGACGUUGACCCUAUUUUGUUGGUUUCUAGGAUUGACGUAAUGAUUAAUAGGGAUAGGUGGGGGCAUUAGUAUUCAAUUGUCAGAGGUGAAAUUCUUGGAUUUAUUGAAGACUAACUACUGCGAAAGCAUUUGCCAAGGAUGUUUUCAUUAAUCAAGAACGAAAGUUAGGGGAUCGAAGACGAUCAGAUACCGUCGUAGUCUUAACCAUAAACUAUGCCGACUAUGGAUCGGAUGAUGUUAUUUUUAAUGACUCA